UCCCUUUAUGUGGCGUCAAGAUAUAAUAAAAAAAAUGAUUUUUCAGUUAUUUCUAAAAUGUCUCACAAGCAAAGUAUUGCCUGCACGUGUUCAGAGCGUGCCUUUCCACGCAAACAACGUCAGCGGAGUUCCUCGGGUUUUACUAUCUUAUUUUCCAAGAAAUCAGAUUAUUGUUUAUAGUAUCACCAUAUCUGUCUACGUAAGAACUGCACAUUACUAGGACCAGAGAACAAUAUAUGAUUCGGUAACACAGUGACGAGAGCCACGAGAACCAAGCCAAGCACUGGACGACCCACAAGAGCGUCCGACUGACAUGGCCAAUUAUUGGAAAUCGAGACCCAGAAAGGCACCGUCCCAAUCGCCGGGCGCCAUGUAACCCCCGGGACACAGGCGGGGGAUGGGAGCCGCGCCACGGAUACCCGCCGCCACAGUACUCUGAGGACACCGGUGACUCCAAAGCACGUUAUUCUCAGCGCAUCUUUAUAUAUACAUCAGAGAAACAUCACUUGUUAGCUUAUAAGACUGAAGCAUAUUAAUUUUCUUGUACUGGCAAGAUAUAAUACCUAGGUUUUAUUCAUG